rnacentral:lncRNA from 1 species
UGCAACAGUGUUCAUUCUUCAUAACAAUGUAUUUCUCAAGAAAGUACUAUGUGCCAGACCCCAUGAUGGUUGCCAAGGCUAUGACAAUGAAUGUGAUUGGCACAGCUUACUUCCUAACAGCAUCUCUAAAAGCUGUAUCUAAGAUGCUUUGUCCUUGACAUUGUGUUACAACACAUUCUUGUCCUCCAACAAUUUCAAUUUCUUUGUUCUUUUGCUUUUAGGGCAUCUAACUCAUUCCUUAAUAUCAGGCCAACAUGUGAAGAAUAAACAAUAUCUUAUGCUCAAAAAGAUACAUAUAUAUCUUAGAAUACACAUAUAUGUAUACAUAUGUAUUAUAUAUAGUUUAAGAAUCCCUGAAAUCAUAUUUCUCCCUCCCUUUCUGAGAUUUAAGGAGCAUUUUGUCUUCCUAGGAUGAAAGUAUCUUUCUCUGUAGUUUGAGGGCUCUCUAAAUGAUCUUAUCCUCAUUGUAUAUAUUUCAGAUUGCCACUAAAUACAUUUAUCUUUUCAGCAAUUUAGCCUAAGUAAACCAAGUGCAGGGACUUCGGGCCCUCGUUACAGGAACAUCUUCAUGUGAAAAUAAAAUGUAUAUUUAGGCUGCACACCACGAUCGAUUAACACAGUGCCUGAUAACUGCAGUUUUCACAGCGGUUGACUGAUUGUACCUGCCAGCUGGCUAAUAUCAUAAUUAACAAAGUUGCUACUACGUCUGCAAAGUUUAAUCGAAAAAUUUGCCAGUGAUAUGAUGGCAUUGUCACAAAGAUCACAAGGGACUUGGAGUCGACUUUCGCUCAAGGUGGAACGGCAGAGCUGUGGAGGCAAAUGAGAAAUCUUGAACUUGUUCAGCCAAAGGAGGUUAAUAAUGAAGGGCCAGAGAAGGAGGCCAGUGCUACCAGGGUUAUCUCGCAGCCUCAGAUGUUGGAUAAGUCGAAGGAGGCAGGAUCGCUUCAGGAUGACAUUCAGAAAGGCCGGAGUGAUUAUUGGGAAGAGAAAAGCCUACCUAUUCUUUUCUAAGGUGCCUGAAUAUUCCCCUGGCCUGCCUGUCCAGGCACUGAUGCAUUAUUAGCAACCUGCCUUAGACAAAGGAGGCACUCGGAGCCCCACCACACCUCAAACCACGCUUUGAAGGAUCUGCCAAGCUCACUUUUAAUCAUGAGGAAGGAAUUACCCACAUGGAGUCAGCAGAAAAUGAGAAAGUGGAGUUCGUGCUGCGAAUAAUUCCAGCAAGUGCCAAGGGGCUAGUUGAGGAAUGGUUUCAUGAGGUGAAUAUCUUUAGCUUGUACUUAGGGUUUGGGUAGCGUAUAAU